CAGCCGCGUUGUCGGCAAACUGGAACCAAUGAAGAGGAUUUAAUGCGGUACCGUUUUCGCUGGAUUUCCAAAUCCAAGUUGACGGUAUUUUUCCGAUUUAAUAUGUUGGAUAAAGGUAUUGAAAGACAUGUUGAAUAAAAGAGGACUGAGACAAUCGCCUUGAAGGACGCCACGACCGACUGUAAUGAAGGAAGUAUUGAACUGUUCAGUUACUAUGGAAGUUUGGAAAUCAGUAUAAAGGCUACUGACAAGAGAUUCUUUAUGUGAUCGGGAAUGUGGUGAUAUUCAAGGACUUCAUAAAUAAGGUUAUGGUGGACUUUACCGAAUGCAUUUUUGAGAUCUAAUAGUGUUAUGAUAAGUGAUCGUUGUUUUACUUGCGCUUUAUUAAUGAUAUGUGCCAACUGUGCUGUGUGUUCUAGUGUUCCUGAGAGUUUUGGAGUGAAACCUUAUUGUAUGUUCUGUUCAAUGUAAUUGUUUUCAGCAAGAAACUGAAAUGUCCUGUUGCGAAGACAUGAUGUGAAAACUUUGAGUGGGACAGAUUCAAGAGUAAUGGGUCGAAAGUUCGCUGGGUUUGCUGUUUCUCCUUUCUUAUGAAUUAGAAUCGUACAUGCUUUCUUCCAUUCAGAUGGGACAACACCGCAAGACCAGGCUGCGUGGAUUAUCUCAGUUAAGUACGAGCGUAAAUAAGGACACCGUUUAAAACAGAUGAUAGAUAUUUGAUCAAGUGGACAUGGUGAGCCAGACGGUUUCAUUUUACGGAUGACAUUUGUAAUCUCUUGAUAGGUAGGGGGGUCAAGAUUAAAAGGCGUCCAACUGGGGAUGUUGAAUGUUUUAGUUGGGCUAAUCGCGGACAAUGUUUUGGUGAAAUAUGAUGUACAUUGUGCUAGGUUAAAUGAUGGAAAUGAGCUGGUGUUCUUUUAAAAAAUCGUUUAACAAAACCCCAGAGGUUUUUACCAAUUAGACUAUCGUGAUCAAUAUUUGCAGACGCAUGACUAUCAGUGUUAUUGAGGUCCGUAUUAUUAGACUUAUUAAGAAUGUUGCGCAGUUUCUUUGCGACGAACUUGAUCUCCAAAAUAUCUCCGUUUUCUAAUUUUAAUUUUUUUAAUGAUUUUUUCAAAUCUUUAGUUGAAAAGCUUUCAUAUUUUCUUUGGUAUUGAACAUCAUUAUGAUUGUAGACAUAUCCAAAAUUCUCG
rnacentral:lncRNA from 1 species